CUCGUAGGCGGUUCGUCGCGUCCGGUGUGAAAGUCCAUCGCUUAACGGUGGAUCCGCGCCGGGUACGGGCGGGCUUGAGUGCGGUAGGGGAGACUGGAAUUCCCGGUGUAACGGUGGAAUGUGUAGAUAUCGGGAAGAACACCAAUGGCGAAGGCGGGUCUCUGGGCCGUCACUGACGCUGAGGAGCGAAAGCGUGGGGAGCGAACA
rnacentral:rRNA from 1 species